rnacentral:rRNA from 1 species
GACGAACGCUGGCGGCGUGCUUAACACAUGCAAGUCGAACGGUGAAAGCGGAGCUUGCUCCGCUGGAUCAGUGGCGAACGGGUGAGUAACACGUGGGCAACCUGCCCCUCACUUCGGGAUAACUCCGGGAAACCGGGGCUAAUACCGGAUAUGACCUCCUUGGGCAUCCUUGGAGGUGGAAAGUUUUUCGGUGAGGGAUGGGCCCGCGGCCUAUCAGCUUGUUGGUGAGGUAGUGGCUCACCAAGGCGACGACGGGUAGCCGGCCUGAGAGGGCGACCGGCCACACUGGGACUGAGACACGGCCCAGACUCCUACGGGAGGCAGCAGUGGGGAAUAUUGCGCAAUGGGCGAAAGCCUGACGCAGCAACGCCGCGUGCGGGAUGACGGCCUUCGGGUUGCAAACCGCUUUCAGCAGGGAAGAAGCCGCAAGGUGACGGUACCUGCAGAAGAAGCACCGGCUAACUACGUGCCAGCAGCCGCAGUAA